rnacentral:sRNA from 1 species
AAUAAAGAAGUAAACAUACAAUUGCCUGCCACAAAAAUGAGAGUUGUUAAGAUUUUGAAUUGAUGCAUCUGCUGAUUCUUGCAACGCAAAUUGAACAAAUCCAUAGCCUCUACUUGUCCCAUCCUCAUUUUUAGCGACUUUACAAGAUAAUAUAUCUCCAAACUUGCAAAAUAAUUCUUGUAGACUUACAUUGAAUUUGUUUUUUUACCUUAACAAACACAUUUCCAACCCCACUUCUCCUAGCAUCUGGAUCUCGGUUAGACCACAUUACUCUGAUCGGCUUAUCCAAAAUAAGACUAUGAUUUAAUCAUGCACAGGUUUUUUGUAUACCGUCAGCCUGGGAGAGGUAAUUCACGUAUCCAUAUCUGAGGGAGUUGCUCGUGGCAUUGUCGCGGCAGACGCGCACGGACGUGAGGGUGCCAAUCUUGCCGAACACCUCGAGCAGGUGCUCCUCCCGCACGCUUUCGUGGAGAUCGCCCACGUACAACGCGGGCACCG